rnacentral:rRNA from 1 species
CCUACGGGUGGCUGCAGUGAGGCAUAUUGCACAAUGGGGGAAACCCUGAUGCAGCGACUCCGCGUGAGUGAAGAAGUAUUUCGGUAUGUAAAGCUCUAUCAGCAGGGAAGUAAAUGACGGUACCUGACUAAGAAGCCCCGGCUAACUACGUUCCAGCAGCCGCGGUAAUACGUAGGGGGCAAGCGUUAUCCGGAUUUACGGGGUGUAAAGGGAGCGUAGACGGCAGCGCAAGUCUGUAGUGAAAUCCCAUGGCUUAACCAUGGAACUGCUUGGGAAACUGUGCAACUGGAGUGCAGGUGAGGUAGGCGGAAUUCGUAGUGUAGCGGUGAAAUGCGUAGAUAUUAGGAAGAACACCAGUGGCGAAGGCGGCGUACUGGACUGUAACUGACGUUGAGGCUCGAAAGCGUGGGGAGCAAACAGGAUUAGAUACCCGUGUAGUC